AGAGUUUGAUCCUGGCUCAGAUUGAACGCUGGCGGCAUGCCUUACACAUGCAAGUCGAACGGCAGCGCGGGGGCAACCCUGGCGGCGAGUGGCGAACGGGUGAGUAAUAUAUCGGAACGUACCUAGUAGAGGGGGAUAACGCAGCGAAAGUUGCGCUAAUACCGCAUACGCUUUGAGGAGGAAAGUGGGGGACCUUCGGG
rnacentral:rRNA from 1 species